rnacentral:lncRNA from 1 species
UUUUGGGCAGGUUGAGGGACAGGUGGUAAGGGGUUUGUAGUGGAGGUCAGUGGGAUGGAUUGGAUUUGAGUUAGUUAUAGAGUGAUGGGAAGUGGUUGUUUGGUUUGUCACGAGUAGAGAUUGUGUUAGAGCUUUGCAUUGGGGAUGUUGGGUAUCGACUUUGAAUGGUGAUAUGCAUGGUGGUGGAAUGUCGACUUGUAUUAGUGGUAGAAUCCAA